rnacentral:rRNA from 1 species
GAACCAGUACCGUGAGGGAAAGGUGAAAAGCACCCCGGAAGGGGAGUGAAAUAGAACCUGAAACCGUGUGCUUACAAGUAGUCAGAGCCCGUUAAUGGGUGAUGGCGUGCCUUUUGUAGAAUGAACCGGCGAGUUACGAUUUGAUGCAAGGUUAAGCAGUAAAUGUGGAGCCGUAGCGAAAGCGAGUCUGAAUAGGGCGUUUAGUAUUUGGUCGUAGACCCGAAACCAGGUGAUCUACCCUUGGUCAGGUUGAAGUUCAGGUAACACUGAAUGGAGGACCGAACCGACUUAGGUUGAAAAGUGAGCGGAUGAACUGAGGGUAGCGGAGAAAUUCCAAUCGAACCUGGAGAUAGCUGGUUCUCUCCGAAAUAGCUUUAGGGCUAGCCUCAAGUGAUGAUUAUUGGAGGUAGAGCACCUGUCUCUUAUACACAUCU